rnacentral:rRNA from 1 species
CAAUAUAAGUGAUGGCGACCGGCGCACGGGUGAGUAACACGUAUCCAACCUGCCGAUAACUCGGGGAUAGCCUUUCGAAAGAAAGAUUAAUACCCGAUGGUAUAAUAAAACCGCAUGGUUUAACUAUUAAAGAAUUUCGGUUAUCGAUGGGGAUGCGUUCCAUUAGGCAGUUGGUGAGGUAACGGCUCACCAAACCUUCGAUGGAUAGGGGUUCUGAGAGGAAGGUCCCCCACAUUGGAACUGAGACACGGUCCAA